CAAUAGCGUAUAUUAAAGUUGUUGCAGUUAAAAAGCUCGUAGUUGGAUUUGUGGUGUACUUCGGCGGCCCGUCACUAUGUGAUGGAGCUUGCUGAAGUCGCCAUCCUUGGGUGGAUCCUGUGUGGCAUUAAGUUGUCGUGCAGGGGAUGCCCAUCGUUUACUGUGAAAAAAUUAGAGUGUUCAAAGCAGGCUUAUGCCGUUGAAUAUAUUAGCAUGGAAUAAUAAGAUAGGACCUUGGUACUAUUUUGUUGGUUUGCGCACCAAGGUAAUGAUUAAUAGGGACAGUUGGGGGUAUUCGUAUUUCAUUGUCAGAGGUGAAAUUCUUGGAUUUACGGAAGACGAACUACUGCGAAAGCAUUUACCAAGGAUGUUUUCAUUA
rnacentral:rRNA from 1 species